AUAUUAAUCCUGUUCAUAAGCUCUGCAACAUUUAGACAUGUCACACUCAUCAUUCCUUACACCUGAGGCCCAGUUCUUAUAGCCGACGACCUCGUCACUGACCCAGAACCAGAAUUCCAGGGUGCAGGUGUAGCGCAGUCCCAGCCAGACAAAAGGAGUUGAGGCGUUCUUGGCUUUCUGUUGGAUCCAUCUCUGCUCCUUAAGACAUGUCACAGUCAUCAUUCCUUCCACCUGAGGCCCAGUUCUUAUAGCCGACGACCUCGUCACUGACCCAGAACCAGAAUUCCAGG